rnacentral:tRNA from 1 species
GCCGCGGUGGUGAAAUUGGCAAACACGCUAGCUUCAGGAGCUAGUCCCCGCAAGGGGUUGGGAGUUCAAGUCUCCCCCGCGGCACUA